rnacentral:rRNA from 1 species
UACGAAGGGUGCAAGCGUUAAUCGGAAUUACUGGGCGUAAAGCGUGCGCAGGCGGUUCGUUGUGUCGGCGGUGAAAGCCCCGGGCUCAACCUGGGAAUGGCCGUUGAAACUGGCGAACUGGAGUGUGGCAGAGGGGGGUGGAAUUCCGCGUGUAGCAGUGAAAUGCGUAGAGAUGCGGAGGAACACCGAUGGCGAAGGCAGCCCCCUGGGCUGACACUGACGCUCAGGCACGAAAGCGUGGGGAGCAAACAGG